rnacentral:rRNA from 1 species
GUGCCAGCAGCCGCGGUAAUACAGAGACUGCAAGCGUUAUUCGGAUUCACUGGGCGUAAAGGGUGCGCAGGCGGCCAAGUGUGUCAGGUGUGAAAUCCCGAGGCUUAACCUCGGAACUGCGCCUGAAACUACUUGGCUAGAGUACUGGAGAGGGUAACGGAAUUCACGGUGUAGCAGUGAAAUGCGUAGAUAUCGUGAGGAACACCAGAGGCGAAGGCGGUUACCUGGACAGUUACUGACGCUCAGGCACGAAAGCGUGGGGAGCAAAAGGGAUUAGAUACCCCGGUAGUCC